rnacentral:tRNA from 1 species
GUGGUCGUAGCUCAGUAGGCAGAGCGCCGGACUGUGGAUCCGGAGGUCCGGGGGUUCGAGUCCCCGCGAUCACC